rnacentral:rRNA from 1 species
GAUGAACGCUGGCGGCGUGCCUAAUACAUGCAAGUCGAGCGAACGGACGAGAAGCUUGCUUCUCUGAUGUUAGCGGCGGACGGGUGAGUAACACGUGGAUAACCUACCUAUAAGACUGGGAUAACUUCGGGAAACCGUAGCUAAUACCGGAUAAUAUUUUGAACCGCAUGGUUCAAAAGUGAAAGACGGUCUUGCUGUCACUUAUAGAUGGAUCCGCGCUGCAUUAGCUAGUUGGUAAGGUAACGGCUUACCAAGGCAACGAUGCAUAACCGACCUGAGAGGGUGAUCGGCCACACUGGAACUGAGACACGGUCCAGAGUCCUACGGGAGGCAGCAGUAGGGAAUCUUCCGCAAUGGGCGAAAGCCUGACGGAGCAACGCCGCGUGAGUGAUGAAGGUCUUCGGAUCGUAAAACUCUGUUAUUAGGGAAGAACAUAUGUGUAAGUAACUGUGCACAUCUUGACGGUACCUAAUCAGAAAGCCACGGCUAACUACGUG